AAGGCUUUCGAGCUAUUUUUGUUGUCUCGUUUUGAUUAGAAGAUCAAUUAUUAUUUUCAUUAUCUUGACCAUCUAAAAGCAGACUAAAGUUUCAUUUCUGGAACCUUCUGUCCAUUUUCUAUGCAAUUCAAGUUAGCAAACGAAGGCAGAGUCCACAUUGCUUUUUUGAACAAAUGGAUUGAAUUAUUAUUGAAAGAAAUCCCAAUCGUCACAACAUGAUAGGUCGUCUAGCUAGUUUUUCCAUGCAUGUAAGAAGUCGCCAUUGACGAAGACCUUAAAGAACAACUAGCCAACUCUAUAAAGCAUAUCAUUUCAUUCAUUUGGUUUUUCCAUAUACCAAAUACAAGUUUUUCAUAGGUGAUCAUAUCUUGAUUUCAACAAUGAGUGGCGACAGCAACAAGUAUCAAGAUUCAGAAGGUAAUUGAAUUUAUGUUCGGCUUCUGAAAAUCUUUUUUUUUUUCCUUUUUUUCUGUGAUUUAGGAAGUUAAUCAAUUGAUGGGUUACUAAAUUGAUGAUUUUUCAGGAGUAUAUCCCCCACCACCUACUUCACAUCCACCAAAGCAGGAGGUGCGGGUGCGUCCUCCUCCUCCUCCUCCGCCGUCUUGUCCAGCACCAGUGCAAGGGUACUAUGAAGCCGGUCCUUAUGUGGCACCACCUCCAGUUAGUGACCCUAUGAAAUAUGGUCCUCAACACCUCCAACAGCCACCUCCUCCAGAAAGAACUAGUCAGAGGGAUGAUGACUUUGGCACAGGAUGGUAACUGAGCAUUUUUUUUCCCUUUUUAUUUAAAUAAUGAUUCACUGUGUACUUAUUUAUUUAUCCUUUUCCUAUGUGACACAGUUGCUGCUGCUGAAUCUAGAACGCGUGCUUUGAAGGACUAUGAAUGGUUCUCUGUAAAAUUUGCAGCUUAUAAUUGUUUUUCCCUUGUGUUUCUUGUUGGAAAUAAUAAUCAUUUUCGCUCUUUUUAUGUCACUGUACGUACUACGUUUAACAUUUAAUCACGUUGCUCUUUAAUUAUUAAUAUUUUUCUCCGUGCUACAAUUUUUGAUGGCCAGGCUAAAUGUUUGAGGGUAUCAGAUUGUUUGGUAAUUAGUAUUUUUUGAAGGUUUUUUUUGUAAUAUUUUUAAAAAAUAUAUUUAAUAAAGAUAUGUUGCAUUGCAAUAUUAAACACAACUCGAUUUUUUAAAAGCUUAAAACAAUAUCAUUUCAAUUCUUUUUGUUUUAAAUCAAAGAUUUAAGUUGAUCCAACUAAACCUUCAACCCAUGAGCCUCGAAAUAGAUAUAACCUGGGUGGUAUCUUAUAACUAUGCUAUUAAUGACUUUAAUUGUCACGUCUCGGUGUUCGGCUUGUAAAGGAAACAUAUGAACUUUCAAAGUGUAUAAAUAAUGUUGGUAUCAUAUAGAUUAAGUUGAUAAAUUAGGCAUUUAGUACAAAUUCACGAGUUAAUCUCACUUAAACUUUCAACCCAUGACACGAGACUCACUCGAAACUAGAUACAACCUGGGUGGUAUCUUAUAACUAUGCUAUUAAUGACUUUAAUUGCCACAUCUCUGUGUUCGGCUUGUAAAGGAAACAUAUGAACUUUCAAAGUGUAUAAAUAAUGUUGGUAUCAUAUAGAUUAAGUUGAUAAAUUAGGCAUUUAGUACAAAUUCACGAGGGAUAUCUUGUUCCCAAGUUGAAGAACAAAUAAAAGAAUUACAGUUGUAUGACUUCUACAAGAAUGGAGACCUGAGCUAUUCUCACAAACGUGAAUUGCUCAUGCAAACUAGUUUCAGUUCUUGAUGGAAAAUCGCUCUAUCCAUUCUGUCAGGCAAUCGGAGGAGCUCUGUGGUAUGGUGGUACCCUUCCAGGGAAGAACAUUUGUCUAAGAAAACAAGGGGUGAAUGGUGCUGUUACCACUCACUACUUCUAGACUUUCCCUUUCUGUUUUAGUCAAAGAGCUCGGGACUGAUACCAUGCCUUUUAUAGGCUUAAAAAACAGCAAAGUUUUGACAUUUUCUGUAAAACAUUUAGGCAAUGAAUUGCUUUCAAAUAAAACCAUGGGAUCCAAAACAGGGGGAGAUUGACAGUUUUGUUGUUACAUUAUUGUCACAAAGUAAGUUAUUGAACCCAUUUUUGUUAUCAUCAGGCAAUGUAUACAGAGCUUAGGAUCAGUUGUUCACUUGACAAGUCUAUUUGACGUUUGGAAGCUCUUCAUUUAAGAUCUAAGAUUUUUUCGUGUAAUCACAUGUUUGCUUGACCUAAGACUUGUAAUCAUAUCAACCAUGAUACCAAAAUGAAAAAUCAUUUGUUUGUAAAUUAGUCCUUUAAUUUGUUUUCCAUAACAUUUUUAAUUUUUUCCUACAAUGUUCUUUAUUUUUAGUUAAUUCUUUUUAAUAUUUAUAGGUCCUGUAAGGUCUUUACCUAUAUAUUUUGACCUAUUUUAUAUAAAUCACUUAUUACAAGCAAAAUAAAAAGUUUGAUAUUUUUAUGUGAAAAUAUCAUUUCUUCCAAAAAAAAAAAAAGAGUUCAUCUAAGUAUAGUAAAGAUAUGGGUUUGCUUGAGUAUUGUUUUUUAAAAAAUUAUUGAUUGUUGAAUUUGUUGAAAGGAUAAACUUCUUCUUUUUUUACUUUCUAAAAAUAUGUUUAUCUUGAAAAAAUUAUUAUUAAAUUAAUAUUUUUUUUCAAUAAUUUUGAUGUGUUAAUAUUAUAAAAAGAUUCUGAAAAAAAAUUAUUUUAAUAUAUUUUCAAGUAAAAAAUAAAACAACACUUUUAAAAAACACUUUAUAAUACUAAGCACAUAAUUAAUGCAUUAUAAUAUAUAAGUAUAUAUGACAGAACGGGCAUAUGGGAAGGGAAAUUUAUGAAGUUUAAUAUGAAUUUAACAGUCAGGGGAUUAACUUAUUAUUUUCAAAAUCAAAAGGACUAAAUCGCAAAAUAAUAAAAAAGGAAUUAAAUUAUAAUUUUCCCACAACAGAAAUGUUUUGUCCUUGUGAGCCUGAGACUUCAGUAGAGACCCAAAUCAGUCACUAGCUACUCAUAUUUUACCUUCUAACAAAUGGAGCAAAGUCCAAUUAUGAUCUAUCUAUGAAAUUGAAAUGAAUGCAGGAUCGCAAUUUGUGUAGAGUUUAUAACAUCCUAUUAAAAAAAUGCUUUGGCAGCCCUUUUCUUUUAAGCUUUUAGAAAAACAUUCUGCAAGGAAAAAAAAUCUAAUUUUCUGAAUGAGCUGCCCUGACACAAGCUUUUUUUUAAGGGAAAAAAAAUUGAUCAAAUAAAUACUGGGAAAUUCGUGAAAAUUGAAUCAUGCUUUUGUUUCAUUUGGGCAUCGAAUCUGUCUAGAAAAACAUUAAUGCAACUUUAUAUCGAUUAGCUAGGAAAGCUCUCCCAGUAUGUUUUGAGAACACUUGGUCUAGACAUUAGAAACAAGUGAAAGUCGCUUGCUUCCUAGCUGAAGCUUCGUUUCUUCUGUCUCACCAUUGAAAUAGUCGAGGAUAUAUGCUGAAACAUAGAUGAUCUAGGAUUAAAGAUGCAGAAAGCACAUGAAUUCAUUCUUUAUGCGACUCCUUCAACAUAAUAGCAAAAGGAGAUGGUCUCUCAAAGUGUUUUUGGGUAGAGGUUAAAACACAAACCUGAAACCAAACACCAUCUGACAUGCAGCGAAAGAGUAAUCAACAGAAUUCGGAUAUACUAGUAUGAAAGCAGAUAAAAGGGCCCCAAGCUAUAAUUUGUGCAUGUCAGAAAGAGCUACAAUCAAAAUUCAUCCCACAAUAACUUUUGUAAGGACUGAUUAUUGAAGAAGUAUAUAGGACAUCGCAGGAUUCAAGAUGUGCUGGGUUGAAGCAUCAAGCUCGUCACAAGAAUUCUACAAUAAUAGUAUUGUCUAAAUGUUCAUCAAGAAUUUGAUGAUGAGGUAAUAUUUAUUUACCCCGAAUCUUGACCUUAAGUGUCCAUUUAACCUUUCCCUCUGGCAACGGAAUAGACUUUGGGAAGCGUAGUGGCACCUCAACUUGUACUUAUAUACAAGCGGGAUAGAUCCAAGAAGAGAAGAAAAUCACAUUCGAAUUUGUUCUUCUUCUCAUGUCUCUGUUUCUGUGUUUAUCUUUAUUGUAUAUUUGUAUAUAUCUAGGAGUUAUAACUUGAAAAACAUAAAGAGACAUGCCCAUUUCAAUACCAAAUAUCGAGUUCCUGACUUCCUGAGGCAAGAAGUUCAACCCCUUUGAGGUAUUUCCUCUGUACUCGUGUUUGUGCCUCAUGUUCUUAAGCAUCUGUCCAGUGAUGCUAGCAAGCAAGGGUCAAAAGACGUGAGCCAUUUGUUCUUAAUUAUUGUUCUCUGCAAAUAGGAAAUCAUAUGUACAGAAGCAGAUAAUGGAAUCAAUAACCUUCGGUCUACGUGUAUUUUCCUAUAAUAUCGAAAGGGGAAAAAAUUAUUCUUUGAAUUCGUCAAGAAUAUAUGAAGUAUGUUUAUAGAAAAGGAUGCCGAUAAUGUUGAAAUAGGAGAAAGAUUCCUUUUUGGUAUAUUUAUAAUCAAGUAAAAAUAUUCCUAGUUUAAAAAGAUUUGUAUUUAGGAUUUUAAAAAAUAAUCAAGUAAAAAUAAUUAUAAUCACAUUUCCAAAAAAAACUCUAUAUCCAAGUGAUUGACACUGAUUCUUCCAAGCUCAUCAAAUUUUUCGAAAUUAUUGUGGGAAAUCGUUUUAAUUUGUUUGGUAUUCACUUAUGAAACAAUUAACUUUUUUAUAUGUGUGCUGUGAAUUUUAAUUAUUUUAGAAAAUACAUAAUAAUAAUGAUAUUUUUCUUUCAAAGUCCGUACUUUAUUUAUAUAUGAAAGAUCAGAACAAACUAAAAGUAAAAUUGUGAUAAAAAUUAGUUUGGAUUUAAAAUUAGGAUUUUUUUUUUUAUGUUCGCCCAUAUGUAUGCGUGUAUGUAUAUAUGUAUGUAUUAAUUAUUAUUAUUAUUAUUAUUAUUAUAUUCUGUUUGGUCGUUUUGUACAUUUUGGUGGGCCAGGCCCAGGACCCCACAAGCACAAAAACAAAGGAGAAUCCAUGUGCACAAAUCUCUGUGGGACUCAUGCUCAAAAACUGAAUCCGUUGAUUCAUGUAUCUGGGGGUACUUAUCAAUAAAUCUAUGUGGAACACAAAUUUCUUUAAUUAAAUCAUGAGAUUAAUUAAUUAAUUAAUGAAACGGUGUCAAAAAAGUCUCUCUAUUUUAAUGUCAAAAAUCAACUCUUUGAAAAGAAAUAUAGAUUUACCAUUAAUAUCACAAAUACACACAUAAUUCAUUAAUAAUAUUAAAAUACAGUUAAUAAGUUGAUCAGGUUUCUGUUUAUAAAGAAUGAAUUAUAUUUUCAUUUAAUUAGAAAAACAGCAAUAUAUAGUUCAAAUUAAUUUGAUGGCGUGUCUUAAUAUAAUAGAUAUGGGUUAGAGGAGAGAGCCACCCUUUUCUAUGCAAUUCAAGGCUUUCGAGCUAUUUUUGUUGUCUCGUUUUGAUUAGAAGAUCAAUUAUUAUUUUCAAUAUCAUUUCGGAGGAACCUUCUGUCCAUUUUCGGAGCAAUUCAAGUUAGAAAACGAAGGCAGAGUCCACAUUGCUUCUUUGAACAAAUGGAUUGAAUUGUUAUUGAAAGAAAUCCCAAUUGUCACAACAUGAUAGGUCGUCUAGCUAGUUUUUCCAUGCAUUUAGCAAGUCGCCAUUGAUGAAGACCUUAAAGAACAUCCAGCCAACUCUAUAAAACAUAUCAUUUCAUUCCUUUGGUUUUUACAUAUACCAAAUAAAAGUUUUUCAUAGGUGAUCAUAUCUUGAUUUCAACAAUGAGUUACGGCAACAACAAUUAUCAAGCUUCUGCAGGUAAUUUAAUUUAUGUUCGGCUUCUAAAAAUCUUUUUUUUCCCCUUUUUUUUCUGUGAUUUAGGAAGUUAAUCAAUUGAUGGGUUACUAAAUUGAUGAUUUUUCAGGAGUAUAUCCUCCUCCUCCUCCUCCUCCUUCUUGGCCACCACCAGUGCAAGGGUACUAUGAAGCCGGUCCUCAUGUGGAACCACCUCGAGUUAGUGACCCUAUGAAAUAUGGUCCUCAACACCUCCAACAGCCACCUCCUCCUCCUCCUCCUCCAAACCAACCUAAUAAGAGGGAUGAUGAAUUUUGCACAGGAUGGUAACUGAGCAUUUUUUUUUCCCCUUUUUAUUUAAAUAAUGAUUCACUGUGCACUUAUUUAUUUAUCCCUUUCCUAUGUGACACAGUUGCUGCUGCCUCUAGGACGUGUGCUUUGAAGGACUAUGAAUGAUUCGCUGUAAAAUUUGCAGCUUAUAAUUGUUUUUCCCUUGUGUUUCUUGUUGGAAAUAAUAAUUAUUUUCGCUCUUUUUAUGUCACUGUGCGUACUACGUUUAACAUUUAAUCACGUUGCUCUUUAAUUAAUAUUUUUCUCCGUGCUACAACUUUUGAUGGCCAGGCUAAAUGUUUGAGGGUAUCAGAUUGUUUGGUAAUUAGUAUUUUUUGAAGGUUUUUUUUUUAAAUAUUUUCAAAAAAUAUAUUUUAUAAAAACAUGUUGCAAUAUUGCAAUAUUAAACACAACUCGAUUUUUUUAAAAGCUUAAAACAAUAUUAUUUCAAUUCCUUUUGUUUUAAAUCAAAGAUUAAGUUGAUCUAACUAAACCUUCAACCCAUGAGCCUCGAAAUAGAUAUAACCUGGGUGGUAUCUUAUAACUAUGCUAUUAAUGACUUUAAUUGCCACAUCUUGGUUUCAAAACAUGACAACUACCAAUCUCACGGUAAGAUUUUAGGAGCGUAUCCACCGCCACCGAACCAGCUGGGGAGCGGUGUCCUCCUCCUUCGCAAGCUUAUGCACUACCCGUCCAAGCUGGUCCAUAUGUUGCUCCACCUCCAGUUGAUUACCCUGCGACAAAUGGUGCUGAACACACCAAAAUAUCACCCCCUCUUGAAAAAGAAGAAGCAUAAAAGGUAACUAAGCAUUUCAAAACUCCCUGUGUAAAUUCCAUUGCAAAUAAUAAUUCAUCGUUAUAUAUAUAUAUAUAUACACAAACACACACACCCUGAGGGGACAAAUUUUCUUGUCUUUUGACACAGUUGUCUGUUGUUUCGAAUGUUUCUGCGACUUUAAUUCUUCAUAGCUCACAUCUCUCGGAAUCCACCUUGCGAGAAAUUGUCUUAAUUUGUUUGUUUUUCACACAUGUUUUCUGUAACUAAUUUCCUUGUACACAUAUUUUGAUGUAAAUCUGUUUUAUUAUUUCAACUCAACGGGGCAAUAAUUCUUGGAAUCGCUCUUUCGAAGUUAGAGUUUGGUAUCGGUUUUACCCUCCAACUUUUAGAAAUUCUUAAUUUGGAUAGAUUUUGCUUCUAACAAACCCUUUUUUUUUUUUUUUUUUAAAGAAGCUGAUAGGAUUAAAUAGAACAUAAGUGUGUUAUGCCAUCAUAUUACAAAGAAGAGAAAAUUCGCUGAACUAACUAGCGAAAUAUAGAAACAUAAUCUUCAGAUCAACUAAGCAUCUUUGAAGAUCCUUCCCUUGAGAAACAUAUCAUGCCAAUCAAUACCGCUUUUUUCCACCAUCUAUUCCCUGCAUAGGAACCAAAACAUUGCCCCAGAAUACCACAAGCUGCAAAGGAUAAAUAGAGUACCAACAGAUUAUCUAGGUGAGUCAUAGCCAAGCAAUAAAAUCAGAUAUUCUAUGCACUCCUUGUUUAGCGAGGUGAUCUGCCAUGUGAUUACUUUCACAGUAAGAGUGAGUGUAGGUGAUUGAAUCAAAACAUGAAGCUAGCCUCUUAGCUAAAGAGAAGAGUUUAUGAUGAAGCCAAGGCCUAUUAUGAGGAUUAUUCAUCUAGCUAAUGACAUUGGCAGAAUCAGAUUCAAUAAUAAUAUGUUUAUGAUGUAGGAAGUAAUUAGAGGCUGAUAAUUCGAUAGCUUUAACAACCGCUCUCAGCUCAGCUACAUUGGAGUCUAAGAUCUCAACUGACGAAGAAAAAAUUACCUAGAAGUAUUCCAUGGUGAUUCCGCAAAACACCAUCUAUUUCAGAGGGGCCAGGCUUUCUGAUAGAGGUUCCGUCAACAUUCCAUUUGAAUCUAUUAAUCAUAGGGGAGACAACAUUCCAUUUGAAUCUUCCAACAAACUCUUGUAAUUCCAUUUAUAUAUACUGUUUUGAAAAGUUCAUAUCUUAUUCUACCCUUUCUUUUCUUUUUAGUUUUGUGAUAAUAUUUAUAUAUGUUGUUGAAUAUAUGCAAUCAUAUAAUUUAUUUUGUUUUUUCCUCUUAUUCUAUAAAAAUCAACUGGAUUUGGCCAUGUAAACCCCCUAAAACCCACUAAAAAACUGACAAGUUUUACCAAUUAUCCUCUUUAAAAACCCAAUUUAAAUCAAACCAAAACUAAUCAUUUUAAACUUGUUUAUAGUUAGGUUUAGUUCUAAAUAUGAAAAAAAUAAAAGUUUCACUUUGAUUAGUUUUUUUUUAUCAAAAACCAAACCGAAAAUGCUUAACUCUCUAACUAUUAUGUUUCCAUCAAAUGAUUCUAACAAAAAAAUAUAAUUAACAUAUCAAAAUAGUUUAGAGAUCAAAUUAAUAUAUAAAAUAGUUUAGGUGUGAAAUUGAUACUCUCCUAAUUGUUUGAGGGUGUAUUUUGUUAUUUUUCUUAUGUAUAAUUAUAAUUAUAAAAUAUAGGUUUUUGUAAUUUUACAAUCCUACUUUACUUUCUCUAUUUUUUUUACAAUUAAUUUUAAUUUUGAUUUAAAAAUUUAUUUUCUUAACAUAUGAUAAAAAAAGAAGUUAUAUUAAUAUCAACAGCUGUUUCACAUUUCCGUGGGCUGAGCCCAAGAUCUGACAUCGUUGAACUGAGAUAAUCCAUUGCUAUUGAGAUGACUAGUUUGGUAUUAAUCCCAGUGCACAUUGGGAAAAUAUGAAACAUAAAAAUAAAAAAAAAUAAAAAAAGGCAAGAGCAAAGCAUGAUCCACAUGCACAAAUUUCUUGUUCAAAAACAUAAUUCUUUAAUUCCAGUAUUAUAUCUGCGUGGAACACAGAUUUCUUUAAUUAAACGAUGAGAUUAAAUAAAACGGUGUUAAAGUGUUUUCUCCAUUUUAAUAUCACUCUCUCUUGAAAUGUCAUCAUAUUCAAAAAAUUUAACAAUUAAAAAUUCAACUCUUAAAAAAAAAAUUACACCAUUACUAUUAAAAUACAAACAUAGUUUUUUCAAUAGUAUUAAACUAUAAUUAAUAAGUUAAUCUUAUUUUUGUUUUACAAAUUAAAAAGUGAAGUAUAGUUUCAUUUAUAAUAACCUUAUAUCAAGGCUUGGCAUACCAUAUUCUAGAUUAAAUAUACUUCUAAAAAAACUUUGAGCGGUGUUAUUUAAUUGGUUAAAUUUUAAGUUUGCUUUUCAAAAUUGAUUAGCUCGAGUUCCACAAAUUUUAAAAUUAUUGAAGAUUUAUAUGAUUGUUAAUUUCAGAGUUAGUGGAAUUAGUUAAAAUACAUGUAAGCUGAUCUAAACAAUCGUGUUAAUGUUAAUUUAAAAUAUAUAUUUCUAAAAGAGAGAAUCUUUAACUCGUUCUUCCUUCUUAAUUCUUCAUUCUUCGAAGAAUUAUAGGUUUAAAUAUAAUAUGAAUUGAAAGAAAAGGCACAUAUUUGACCAUAAUUUUGGAGGGGUCUUCUGUCUAUUUCCCAAAUUUGUGGGAAUUUUAAUACGAAAGCAGAAUCCAUGUUGCUUCCUUGAACAAAUGGAUGAAACUAUUCAAAGAAAUGGCAAUUGUCACAACAUGAUAAGCCCUAAAGUUUUUCCAUGCAUCUAAGAAGCAGCCAUUUCAUUGUAAAAGUCAAGCAGAUGUAUCCUCUUCCUCCAUCUUAAUCUUAUGCACCACCCGUCCAAGAUUCGAUUAAUAUAUUUUAUUUUUAUAUGAAUUUUUAAAAAAAAUUAAAAAAAAAUAAUAAUCUAAUUUUUUUAUUUAAUUAAACGUUAAGCUUAGACACGUAUAAAUUUAACGAGCCGCUAAAUUUAGUAUUUAUAUGCUAUGUCAAGCACUAAAUUCAAACAUAUAUAAAUUUGAUCAAAUCUAAUAUCUUUAAAUUUACUCAAGCAAAUAUAAUUUCAAGGAUUUUAUGCUUCAUGAUUGAAUCAUAGAAAUCUAGUACGUCGGAGAUAUUUUUCAUACGCUGAGUUAGAGAUAUUCAUCCUUGGCAUAUAAAAGGUUUUAAUGCUAUAAAAAAAGGAGAAAAGAAAAGAAAGAGAAGUACACAAAUCUUGUGGGAUUAUCAAUAAAUCUAUGUGGAACACAAAUUUCUUUAAUUAAAUUAUGAGAUUAAUUAACUAAUGAAACGGUGUCAAAAAGGUCUCUCUAUUUUAGUGUCAAAAUUCAACUCUUUAAAAAGAAAUAUACAUUAGCCAUUAAUAUCACAAAUACACACAUGAUUUAUCAAUAAUAUUAAAAUCUAAUUAAUAAGUUAAUCAGGUUUCUUUAUAAAGAAUGAAUUAUAUUUCCAUUUAAUUAGAAAAAUAGCAAUAUAUAGUUCAAAUUAAUUUGAUUGCAUGGCUUAAUAAAAAAUAUGGAUUACACGAGAGAGCCAUCCUUUUCUAUGCAAUUCAAGGCUUUCGAAAUAAAACCAUAUAGCAAGAAAAGCCAUUGAAGCUACCAGUUUAACAAUAUGUUUAUUUUUACGUUUUAAAAAUAUUUAUUUUUAAAUUAAAAUAAAUUAUUUUUUAUUUAUUUUAAAUUAAUAUAUUUUAGUGUUUUUAGAUCAUUUUGAUGUGCUAUUGUCAAAAAUCAUUUUAAAAAAUAAAAAAAUAUAUUAUUUUGAUGUAUUUCGAAAUAAAAAAAUACUUUAAAAAACAACUGUCAUCAUACUCCCAAACACUCCCAUAGGCUUCUAGAAGAGAAAAUCUUUAACUCCUUCGCCUUGAUUCUUAUAAGAACUAUAGGUUUAAUUACAAUAUCAAUUGAAGAAAAAAAAGCUCAUAUCUUGGACCAUCCAGAGGCAGGCUAAAGAAUCAUUUUGGAGGAACCUUCUGUACAUUUUCCAGUUUCAUGGAAGUUAAUUAGGAAACGAAGGCAGAGUCCACAUUGCUUCUUUGAACAAAUGGAUUGAAUUAUUCAAAGAAAUCCCAAUUGUCAUAACAUGAUAGGUCGUCUAGUUUUUCCAUGCAUGUAAGAAGUCGCCAUUGACGAAGACCUUAAAGAACAACUAGCCAACUCUAUAAAACACAAUAUUUCAUUUCAUUCAUUUGGUUUUUCAAUAUACCAAACAAGUUUUUCAGAGGUGAUAUCAUAUCUUGAUUUCAACAAUGAGUUACUACAACAACCAGUAUCAAGCUUCAGCAGGUAAUUGAAUUUAUGUUCGGCUUGUGAAAAUCUUUUCUUUUUUUUUUCUUUUUUUAAUGUGAUUUAGGAAGUUAAUCAAAAUGGGUUACUAAAUUGAUGAUUUUUCAGGAGUAUAUCCUCCACCACCUCCAGCAUCUGGUUCAUAUUAUCCACCAAAGCAGGAGGUGUAUCCUCCUCCUCCUCCACCACAGUUUUAUCCACCACCACUAGUGCAAGGGUACUAUGAAGCCGGUCCUUAUGUUGCACCACCUCCAGUUAGUUACCCUAUGAGAUAUGGUCCUCAACACCACCAACAGCCACCUCCUCCUCCAGAAAAAACUAAGCAGAGGGGUGAUGAAUUUUGCACAGGAUGGUAACUGAGCAUUUUUUUUUUCCUUUUUAUUUAAAUAAUGAUUCACUGUGUACCUAUUUAUUUAUUUAUCUUUUUCCUAUGGGACACAGUUGCGCUGCCUUAUGUUGCUGCUGCCUCUUGGACAUGUGCUUUUAAGGACUCUGAAUGAUUCUUUGUAAAAUUUGCAGCUUAUAAUUGCUUCCCUUGUGUUUCUGUUUGCAAAUCAUAAUUAUUUUUGCUCUUUUUAUGUCACUGUACGUACUAUGUAUUCUUUAUUCACUCAAUAGCCUUCCUCUUCGAUUAAUAGGCAGGUAAUCUUCGGGUAUGGAGAAUUAAUUGUUUUUUAAAAUAUUUUUUAUUUAUAAAUAUAUUAAAAUAAUAUAUUUUUAAUUUUUUUUUAAUAUCAAUACAUCAAACAAAAUCUGAAAAUAUAUAAAAAAAAUUAAAUGUUUUUUUAUUUAUUUUAACCAACCCUUAACCCGUAAUUCUAAUCAGUGGCGAAAUCUUAAAAAGGAUCUCAGUACAUUAAUCAAAUUGCUGAUAGAUGGGCUAUAUAUAUAGACUAGUUUGUGUUUCAAAAGUUGAGGAGCUUGGUAACGGGACAGGCUCCACGGCGUAACCUACGCGAGUGGGAAGGGAGACUGUAGACUUCAGAAUAGAAAAGAAAAGGCUAAAGAAUUGAUGCAAUGAAACAUAACUAAUCAUUGUAUAUACUCUUAUAGGUUGUUUUACAUUACAUUUGUACUUGUGUUUUUUAAUGUAUUUUAAAGGUGAGUUUGGUAUAAAAAAAGACAUCGAAUUAAUUUUUAAAAUUUUUUAUGAUAGUUUUAAUGUAAUGAUGUUACUAAUAAGAAAAUUUUUUUAAAAAAAUUAAUAUAUUUUUUAAAAAAUACAUAUCAAACACAUUUGAUCUUCCGACAAAAGAUGAACUCAAAUGAUUUGUUAAUUCAAGUGCUGAUUAAUAGAAAGCAAGGUGAUUCAAGUGAUGAUUAAUAGAUGAACUCAUCUAAUAUAAAAAUAAUUCUAAGUGAUGUUUUUUAAAAUUUUAACCGCUCUCUAUUUAGCAUGCAAUCCUAAUCAGUGGCGAAAUCUUAAAAAGGAUCUCAGUACAUUAAUCAAAUUGCUGAUAGAAGGGCUAUAGACUAGUUUGUGUUUUGAACGUUGAGCAGCUUGGUAAUGGGACAGACAGGCUCCAUGGCGUAACCUGCACGAGUGGGAAUGGAGACUGUAGACUUUAGAAAAACAUAUAUUUAAAUAACAUAUAUUUUUAAUAUUUUUUUAUGGUUUUAAUAUGCUAAUAUCAAUAAUUAAAAAAUUAAAAAAUAUAUUUUAAUAUAUUAAAAAAAAAUAUUUUGAAAAACAUAUUUUACUAUAAUACCAAACACACAUUUAAUCAUUUUUCCCUUUUUAUUUAAAUAAUGAUUAACUGUAAAAUUUGCAGCUUAUAAUUGUUUCCCUUGUGUUUCUUGUUGGAAAUAAUAAUUAUUUUCGUUCUUUUUAUAUCACUGUACGUACUACGUUUAACAUUUGUCUAAUUCCUUCAGCCUUUAUUAUAGGAAAGAUGUUAACCAUGUUAGAAAAUCUUGCUUCCACUGAGUCUAUCUUAGAAACAGAAUUUGGAAGAAAAAUUGAUUAAAAAUUCAGUUUCUACAGAUUCAAAGUUCAUCGAGUUACCUACCGAAAUCAAUCUAGCGCCUGUCCAUAUCCGCUUAAGUGAUGGUAAGGGAAGCAUUAAGCGGCCGACACCAUAGAUAGCCACUGCAAAGAAAUGGAGAACCAAGUUCAUUGGCCGAUGGUCUAGACCAGAGAGUAGAGCUAUGGGUCCAUUCGAAAAAACUCCACCAAGGCUUAAAUAGUCAAAGCAAGGGUCAAAAUACGUGAAGAAAUAAGAUAGACUAAAAAUUGGAUUAAUAAAGAUAAAAACCGAGCCUUUUGGUUGUACUUUAAAUUGACUUAAUCUUAAUUAUUGUUCUCUGCAAAUAGGAAAUCAUAUGUACAGAAGCAGAUAAUGGAAUCAAUAACCUUCGGUCUGCGUGUAUUUUCCUAUAAUAUCAAAAGUGAAAAAAAUUAUUCUUUGAAUUCGUCAAGAAUAUAUGAAGUAUGUUUAUAGAAAAGGAUGCCGAUAAUGUUGAAAUAGGAGAAGAUUUCCUUUUGAUAUAUUUAGAUUCAAGUAAAAAUAUUCCUAGUUUAAAAAGAUUUGUAUUUAGGAUUUUUAUUAAAUUAAUAUUUAAAAUCCUUAUUUGAAAAAAGAUAGUUUAAAUUUAUCUUGAUUCUAUAAACUUCUUUUAAAUAUAAGGGUGAUAUGUGUUAAUUAUCAGUGAAUAAAGGCUUAGUAUUAAUUAAAGUUUCUUGGAAUAAAUCAAGUCUUGUUUUCAAAACAUGACAGCUACCAAUCUCACGGUAAGAUUUUAGGAGCGUAUCCACCGCCACCGAGCCAGCUGGGGCGCGAUGUCCUCCUCCUUCGCAAGCUUAUGCACUACCCGUCCAAGCUGGUCCGUAUGUUGCUCCACAUCCAGUUGAUUACCCUCCGACAAAUGGUGCUGAACACACCAAAAUAUCACCCCCUCCUGAAAAAGAAGAAGCAUAAAUGGUAACUGAGCAUUUCAAAACUCUCUCUGUGUAAAUUCCAUUGCAAAUAAUAAUUCAUCGUUAUAUAUAUAUAUAUAUAGAAAAAGAAUCAGCUUGCAUGCCUGGAGGUUGAUGGACAGAUCCUAUCUAAACCAAUCGAUGUGAAGCUAGCUAUCUUUAACUUUUUUCGCAACCUAUACUCCCACCAGAACAGACCUAGAGCUUCAUGUUCAAACCUGGAAUUCUCAAGGCUGAAGCCUUCAUCCUCGGCUGCUCUUGAAUUGCCAUUUUCUGCAGAAGAGAUUAAAACAGCUGUGUGGGAUUGUGAUGGAAAUAAAGCUCCAGGUCCUGAUGGUAUUAACUUCCUUUUCAUCAAGAAAGCGUGGAACAUUAUAGGUGAGGAUAUUAUCCAGAUGGUUGAUGACUUCUAUCGGACUAAUCUCCUUCCUGCUGGUAUCAAUAGCACCUUUGUUACUCUUAUUCCGAAGAUUAAAGGUGCAAACAAGCUAUCAGAUUUCAGACCUAUUAGUUUGGUUGGCAGCCUAUACAAGAUCAUCUCAAAGAUUCUAGCAACCAGGUUGAAACAUGUUAUGCCAGAGGUCAUCUCUCAUCAUCAAAAUGCUUUCCUCAAAGGGAGGCAAAUUUUAGACAGCGUCUUGAUUGCAAAUGAGGUCCUUUUUUUCAUUAAGAAGAAAAAGGGUAAAGCUUAUCUCUUCAAAUUAGAUUUUCAUAAAGCCUUUGAUUCGGUGUUAUGGGAAUAUAUUAAUGAAAUCAUGGCUAGUAUGGGCUUUGGCAAUAGAUGGCGAGGGUGGAUUAUGCAAUGCAUAUCAACGGCAAAAAUGUCUGUGCUUGUUAAUGGGUCUCCCACGGAGGAAUUCUGCUUAGCUAAAGGCCUACGCCAAGGAGACCCUCUCUCUCCGUUUCUCUUCAACAUUGCAGUCCAGGGAUUGAGUUAUAUGUUGCAGCGUGGCUGUGAUUUGGGUUUGACUUCAGGUAUCAACAUCGGCAAUGCAGGGCUUGUCAUAUCUCACUUACAGUUUGCGGACGACACCCUUAUAUUCAGUUCAGACUCUUUACAUAGCAUGCAGAACAUUAAAUGUAUCCUAUUAUGCUUUGAACUUGUCUCGGGGUUGAAGGUCAAUUUUUAUAAAAGUAGCAUUGUCGGUGUGGGUGUAGCAGCUCAUACAUGUAACUUCACGGCUCAGCUUCUCAGAUGCAAGCAGGAUCAGCUGCCUCUCAUGUAUCUUGGACUCCCCAUCGGUGGAAACCUGGUCAGAGCUACAAUGUGGAAUCCUAUUUUACGCAAUAUCAGUUUCCGGUUGGCUUCGUGGAAAUGCAGGUUCUUAUCUAUUGGGGGCCGUUUGUGCUUGAUUAAAUCUGUGCUCCGCAACCUCCCCAUCUACUACCUAUCUAUGUUCCCUAUGCCUGCUUCGGUUGCCUCCAUAAUUGAUCACAAACUUCGAUCCUUCCUCUGGUCUGGAAAUGAGGAAAGACACAAAAUUUGCAAUGUCAGCUGGGCCACUGUUACUCUUCCAAAACAAGCGGGUGGUCUUGGGAUUGGUCCCUUAAGGGACAAAAACACAGCUCUGCUCUUUAAAUGGUUAUGGAGGUUUGGGUCGGAGGAAUCAAGUUUGUGGACGGAUGUGAUCAAAAGCAUCCACAUCUCCAAUUGCUCUAAUCUGCUGCUGCAAGCUCCUAUUCCAUGAGCUGCAACUACAUGGUCCCGGAUUGUCAAUCAUUGUGUGAGAAAUAAUAAGCUGCAGGAUAUUGUGAAAGAGCAAUCUCUGGUUCUUAUCGGAAAUGGCAAGAAGACUAAAUUUUGGCUUGACUGCUGGCUUAAUAACCACUGUUUAGCAGAGCACUUCCCUACUCUUUUCCAAUUAUCCAAUGACAAAGCUGCCAGCAUUGCUAAAAUGGGAAUGUGGGAAGGGUAUGAGUGGAUUUGGGUUUUUUCCUGGAUACGUCCGCUACGGGGGUGCAGCAUUGGCUUGCUCGAUCAGCUUUAUGCAAUCCUAUCGACUGUACUCAUGGACAAAGAUGAAGAGGAUAGACUAAUAUGGAAGGACAAUAAUUCAGGAAGAUUUUCAGUUAAAUCUCUCUGUGGAUUGUUAAGCCCAAAGCCUUCCACAAACAAUGCCUUCUCGUUUGCUGGAAUUUGGAAAGGUAUUGUCCCUCCUAAGGUAGAGAUCUUUUGCUGGAUGGCUAUCAUUAACAGAAUCAACACCUGAUGCAUGUUGGUUCGAAGAGGUAUAUUGAGUAGCUCAGAAUCAAAUUGCCCUAUCUGCCUAGUGGAGGCAGAAUCGGUGGACCAUAUCCUGCUUCAAUGCCAUAAGCAUUGGCUCAUUUGGUCCAAAAUCAUUAAGUGGUGGGGUUUAGUUUGGUGUUGCCCAAAGAGCUUCUCAGAUUUGUGGUCUCAAUGGACUUCCAUGGUGCAUGGUCAUUUUCAGAGGAAAGCGUGGCUGAUGUUGUUCUUCUCAGUGGCAUGGUCUCUUUGGCUACUUCGAAAUGAUCUGAUCUUCCAACAGAAGACACCUGACUAUGAUUCAAUAUUCUUUCUUAUUAUCACCCGUCUAUGUCUAUGGCUAAAAGCUAUCCAUUCUGAUUUCCCAUACUCCCCUUCAGAUCUGAUUAGAUCGGCAGAUGGCUUACUUCGGUGGUCCAAUGCCCACUCCUUCAGGAUUCAUAAUAUGUGGUCUCCUCCUAUGAUUAAUAGCCUCAAAUGGAACGUGGAUGGCUCGUCUCUUGGUAAGCCAGUCCCUUCUGGAAUAGGUGGUGUACUGCGAAAUCAUCAUGGACAUCUUCUCGGUAUGUUCUCUGUUCCAGUUGGUAUUUUAGACUCUAAUAUUGCUGAGUUAAGGGCUAUUGUCAAAGCCAUUGAACUUUCAGCAUCUAAUUGUCUCUUCCACCAUCAACACCUUAUCAUAGAAUCUGACUCAGUCAAUGCUUUUUUCGUUUACCAAACAAGUUUUUCAGAGGUGAUAUCGUAUCUUGAUUUCAACAAUGAGUUACUACAACAACCAGUAUCAAGCUUCAGCAGGUAAUUGAAUUUAUGUUCGGCUUGUGAAAAUCUUUUCUUUUCUUUUCUUUUUUUCUUUUUUUAAUGUGAUUUAGGAAGUUAAUCAAAAUGGGUUACUAAAUUGAUGAUUUUUCAGGAGUAUAUCCUCCACCACCUCCAGCAUCUGGUUCAUAUUAUCCACCAAAGCAGGAGGUGUAUCCUCCUCCUCCUCCACCACAGUUUUAUCCACCACCACUAGUGCAAGGGUACUAUGAAUUGCCGGUCCUUAUGUUGCACCACCUCCAGUUAGUUACCCUAUGAGAUAUGGUCCUCAACACCACCAACAGCCACCUCCUCCUCCAGAAAAAACUAAGCAGAGGGGUGAUGAAUUUUGCACAGGAUGGUAACUGAGCAUUUUUUUUUCCUUUUCAUUUAAAUAAUGAUUCACUUUGUACCUAUUUAUUUAUUUAUCUUUUUCCUAUGGGACACGGUUGCGCUGCCUUAUGGUGCUGCUGCCUCUUGGACAUGUGCUUUUAAGGACGAUGAAUGAUUCUUUGUAAAAUUUGCAGCUUAUAAUUGCUUCCCUUGUGUUUCUUGUUGCAAAUCAUAAUUAUUUUUGCUCUUUUUAUGUCACUGUGCUAUGUAACCUUCCUCUUUGAUUAAUAGGCAGGUAAUAUUCGGGUAUGGAGAAUUAAUUUUUUAAAAAAAUAUUUUUUAUUUAUAAAUAUAUUAAAAUAAUAUAUUUUUAAAUUUUUUUUAAUAUCAAUACAUCAAACAAAAUCUGAAAAUAUAAAAAAAAAAUUAAAUGUUUUUUUAUUUAUUUUAACUUAACCCACCCUUAACCCGUGAUUCUAAACAGAGACGAAUGCUUAAAAAAUAAUCAUUUAAUUUUCUUUUUCCUAUCUUUAUUUAAAUAACCAUUUAGUGUAUACUUUUUUUUUUUUAUAUGUGACAGUUGUGUUGCUUUAUGUGACAGCUGCUGCUGCUGUAGCCGCCGCCGCUGUUGUUACUGCUGGGACAACUGCUGCUACUGCUUGAAAUCUAUUUUUGAAUGCUUUGGGAUUUGUGAGGGUGUAGGAGACUAAGACAAUUGAAAUAAUGGGAUAUGAGAUAGAAUAAGAGAUGGGGACACAUUAUUUUUAAUAUAUAUUGUGAGCAUUUAAUUUACCGUUUAGGAUUCUUUUCUUUUUUUGUGAUGCUUUUCUUCAUUUAAUUUUGCUUGUUAAAAUUGAAUUUACAACAAAAUAAAGAUGAACAAUGUCACACGUCACUCACGCGGAAUCACCAGCUGAUAUUUAAUUAAGAGUUACUAAAAAUCCAAACAUACUGAUCAUGAUUAGAAAAAAUAUUAACACCCCUAUCACACCCUACUUAAAAUAAACUAAAAAAUUUUUAAAAAUUUUAUUUUAUUAAAAAUACAAUUUACGUGUAAAUUUAUAAUUCUUUAUCAUUACCAAAUCAAAAUAUUAAAUUCUUCAAUAUUCUUUUCAAUUUUAUUAUAACUACAAAAAAACAUCCAUAAAAACAUUCAAACACACACAUACAUUUUUUACUAUAUUUUUUCUUUUUUCCUUGUCUUUUCCUUUUCCUUUUUUUUACAUCCACAAUACAUAACUUCAAAACAACUAUACAAAAAUUACAAUAAUAACCCCAAAACAAACUGGAAUUUACAGGGAACACCUUCUGCACCACCACAACAGUGUCAGGCAGACUUCUGAAGCUGCAAGACAGUGGCGGCGCGUCUUCCCACGCGCCACCGCCACUAGCGGCGCGUCGGUUCACCCGCCGCCGCGAGGAAGAAACUGGAAACAGUGGGAUCUGGCUCAGCCCCUUCUCCUCUUCCUUUCCCUGCCGGCGGUGACAACCACCGUCACCUGCAAAAGAAGAAAAAACGCAAGCAAAGUUUCGGUUCUUCCUCCCCCUUUUUAGAUCUGCUCUCUUCUGGUUUCUCUCUUUCUCUUGGUUCGGUGAUUUUUCUUCUGCAGGUAAUAGAUCCGGCUGUUGGGCUGUCGUCCGUGGCAGCUGAAGCUGCGGUGGAGAUGUGAGUGGUUGUUCGGUCGGAGGGCGAAGAAGAAAUGGCGCCUGCGGCUGAAGAGGGAGACCGUAGGUCUGUGGGCGCCGCUGCUGGAGAAGGGCUGCUGCUGACCGGUUGAAGGAGAUGACGAAGAGAGUGGGGGCUGUUGCUGUGUUCGGCUGCCGCUGGAGGAUGGUCGAAGGAGAGAGGAGACCUGGUUCGGUCUGUGAUGGAGAAGAAGCUGAAACUGCCGGCGAGAGGGGAGAGUAAAGGGGUAUGACUCCGCCCUCUUUUGGUCUUGGCGAGCUGGUUCAGGAGAAAGGAAAAUGAGGGCUGGUGUCUGUGGUGUGUUGUGGGGCUGGGGACGAUGGAGAGGCUGGGAGAGGGAAGGUCUGGUGAGGGGUUGUCUUGGCUGAGAGGGGGAUGAUGGUGGCGGCCGGCGACUGAGGGAGAAGGAAGUGAGAUUGAGAGGGGGGGGCUUGAGCGGCUGCAGGAGGGGUCCAAGCUGGGGGGCGGCGGCGGCUUCUUAGAGAAGAGAUAGAUUUAGGUUUUCUCUUUUUCUUUUAUUCUCCAAACUGCCCCCCUUCCCUUUGUAAAUUUCCUCCCCCUUUGGUAAUUUUUUUAUUAGUUAUAGGUGAAAUGGUGCUUGUUACUUAAAAUUUGUUCCUCAACUUUGUUUUUUUAUAAAAUUUUAAUUUUUUAUUUUUCUUUAUAUUUUUUGAAAAUAACAAUAUUAAUGUUGAUUCAAUGAAAAAAAUCAAAAAUUUUAAAAAUGACGUGUGAAAAGUCGAACGCGUUCAAAAAACUUUUGAAAAAUUAAAUUUUUUUAAGACAAUGCUGAAAAUGCUAAAAACGAUGCAAAUAUAUUUAAAAUAUAUUUUUUUGGAUUUUCGUUGUUUUUUGCUAUUUUUGGAUUUUUCAAAAAUUUUAUCAAAAAGAUGGGUAAAAAAUUGAGUAACAACAAAUGCCUCCUCUUUACAAUACUUAUGAUGCAAAACUCCUCAAUGUUUUGCAUGGUAAGCUUUGUAAAAAAAAUAAAAGAAAAAUGAUCUUAUUAUCUUAGGUGACCGACCCCUUUUGAAAAAAAAUAGUCUAUUUUUAGAGGUGACUUGUCCACACACACUCAUACUAGUCUAUUUUCAGAAAAUUCGGAAGUUACUUGAUUAUUCUUAUGAAUCAGAAAAGUGAGAAUUAAGCACAUGUUGAUCUCAAACAUAAAUCAGUAGUAAUUCUGUUGUGUUAGUUUAAGAAUUCACAUAAAUAUUGCUUGAAGUGAACUGUAGUAACCUGGGGAGCUACUGCAGUUUUCAGAUAGCGAGCCAUUUCACCAUUAGAAACGGCAGGUACUUUCUGUCCAGGAACAUCCACCAAACAGCGAAUCUCAGUGCUGCUAAUAGGAUAAAACAAGAUUGGAGAUGGAUCUGCCCGAACAUAAUGUCCAUGAUUUGCAUAUGGAAGGUUGCAGUUUUCCAGCACCAACGCAACAAAACACGAUGGGAUAUCAAUUAUGCAAAAGGAAAGAUUAAAUUUCAGUUGGCAAGGAAGAUUAAAUUAUGCAAGCUAAAUUCCUAUGUUGUGGAAAAGGUUAUAUGUUACUUCAAUAGCAGCACACAGGAUCACAAAACUUCAACGAAGGGAUUGUUUUGCAAUUUGGCAGCACUAAUCCUCACCUUAGGAUUGCGAAGAGACCGCCGCAGAUUCGAAAAACAGCCAUCACAGACAAUUGUUAAUGGAGCAUAUGCUCCCAACUCUGUUGCAGCCCUGGUUUUGUACUGUACUCCUUUAAUAGUCCCAUUUUCUUCAAUGAGAGUUGUUACCGUUCCUUGUUCCAAUUUAACCCUGAAGAAAACAUUGCAAGAAAAUCGGAUUGUAAGGAAACAUUAUUAAUUAUGCAACUACCCUGGAAAGAUCAUAUGAUUGAAAUACUAUAAUGGAAUAGAACUUAAGCAAGUAUAAUGAAUGUCCAUGAAAGAUUACGCGGAAAGAGUUUUAUGCUUUGUCUCGCAUUUUCUGAACAAAACGGCCAUUGUGAAAGCUUCUUCCAGCAACAUCUGAAAGGAAGUUCUCCAAGGGGUAUGAUAGUUUGGUACUUUUCCCAUCUUUAAAGAUUGCAUAUCCAAGCACUCUUUGAGCAUCAAUUUCACUCACACAGUCUGCAGAUACACAAAGAUAUACUUAACGUUUACUGCUAUAGUUCUGAUAGUUUUGACGCUGAAAAGCUUAGCUGGUUCUACAGAUAUAUUGAGGUUCUGGCUCACCUUUCAAGGCCCAAUUCAAUUAAUUUCAGGUAACCUCCAGGUUGCAGGAGUUCUCCAACAAUUCUGUCAGUCUCAGGCUCAGUCAAGUCUCUUUCAAUUACAUGCACUCUUCGACCAUCCUGCAACAUGUACAGAAAUAUGAGAUAUUGCAACUCUCUCCUGUAAUCUUUCCAACAGAAGCAAUUGACAUGGGAUUAUUGACACAAGUAGUCAAAGAAUUAUUCUAAAAGAAGGUUGGAUACGAUUUGCCUGAUCACCAUCCUGCAUAAUUAUUAAGGGGGUGUUUGGUUUGGAGAUGUGGUGGUUUUUUUAAAAGGUAUAAUCUUCAGUAUAAAUUAUAUUUUUAAAAUCUAAAUAUACAUGUUUUUUUUAUAUGUAUCCCACAAAAAAAACCAAAAUCAUCUUUAAACCAAAUACCCUCUAAGCCCAUUCUAAUAUGAUUAUGGAGCGGGAAAAUCCACAACUUGAAAGUUUGACCUGAAUCAAGUUUUAACUCAAUUAAAUUUAUAUUUAUAUAAUUUAAUAAGUUGAUUUAUGACUUAGUUAUCGGAAUUAGAAUAAAAUUGCCACAUCUCCGUGUUCGGCUUGUAAAGGAAACAUAUGAACUUGCAAAGUGUAUAAAUAAUGUUGGUAUCAUAUAGAUUAAGUUGAUAAAUUAGGCAUUUAGUACAAAUUCACGAGGGAUAUCUUGUUCCCAAGUUGAAGAACAAAUAAAAGAAUUACAGUUGUAUGACUUCUACAAGAAUGGAGACCUAAGCUAUUCUCACAAACGUGAAUUGCUCAUGCAAACUAGUUUCAGUUCUUGAUGGAAAAUCGCUCUAUCCAUCCUGUCAGGCAAUCGGAGGAGCUCUGGGGUAUGGUGGUACCAUUACAGGGAAGAACAUUUGUCUAAUUCCUUCAGCCUUUAUUGUAGGAAAGAUGAUUCCUGAUGCCCCCUGAAGGCGCAGAUGCUAACCAUGUUAGAAAAUCUUGCUUCCACACUAGUCUAUCUUAGAAACAGAAUUUUAAAGAAAAAUUGAUAACAAAUACAGUUUCUAUAGAUUCAAAGUUCAUUGAGAUACCUACCGAAAUCAAUCUAGCACCUGUACAUAUCUGCUCAAGUGAAAUGCCCAAGUUGCUUGAUUAUUCUUAUGAAUCAGAAAAGUGAGAAGCACAUGUUGAUCUCAAACAUGAAUCAGUAGUAAUUCUGUUGUGUUAGUGUAAGAAUUCACAUAAAUAUUGCUUGAAGUGAAUUGUAGUAACCUGGGGAGCUACUGCAGUUUUCAGAUAGCGAGCCAUUUCACCAUUAGAAACGGAAGGUACUUUCUGUCCAGGAACAUCUACCAAACAGCGAAUCUCAGUGCUGCUAAUAGGAUAAAACAAGAUUGGAGAUGGAUCUGCCAGAACAAAAUGUCCAUGAUUUGCAUAUCGAAGGUUGCAGUUUUCCAGCACCAACGCAACAAAACACGAUGGGAUAUCAAUUAUGCAAAAGGAAAGAUUAAAUUUCAGUUGGCAAGGAAGAUUAAAUUAUGCAAGCUAAAUUCCUAUGUUGUGGAAAAGGUUAUAUGUUACUUCAAUAUUAGCACACAGGAUCACAAAACUUCAACGAAGGGAUUGUUUUGCAAUUUGGCAACACUGAUCCUCACAUUAGGAUUGCAAAGAGACCGCCGCAGAUUCGAAAAACAGCCAUCACAGACAAUUGUUAAUGGAGCAUAUGCUCCCAACUCUUUUGCAGCCCUGGUUUUGUACUGUACUCCUUUUAAUAGUCCCAUUUUCUUCAAUGAGAGAUGUUACUGUUCCUCGUUCCAAUUUAACCCUGAAGAAAACAUUGCAAGAAAAUCUGAUUGUAAGGAAACAUUAUUAAUUAUGCAACUACCCUGGAAAGAUCAUAUGAUUGAAAUACUACAAUGGAAUAGAACUUAAGCAAGUAUAAUGAAUGUCCAUUAAAAAAAUUUAUUUUAAUAUAUUUUUAAGUAAAAAAAUAAAACAAUACUUUUAGAAAACACUUUAUAAUACUAAACACGUAAUUAAUGCAUUAUAAUAUAUAAGUAUAUAUGACAGAGCGGGCCUAUGAGAAGGGCAAUUUAUGAAGUUUAAUAUGAAUUUAACAGUCAAGGGAUUAACUUACUAUUUUCAAAAUCAAAAGGACUAAAUCGCAAAAUAAUAAAAAAGGAAUUAAAUUAUAAUUUUCCCACAACAGAAAUGUUUUGUCCUUGUGAGCCUGAGACUUCAGUAGAGACCCAAAUCAGUCACUAGCUACUCAUAUUUUACCUUCUAACAAAUGGAGCAAAGUCCAAUUAUGAUCUAUCUAUGAAAUUGAAAUGAAUGCAGGAUCGCAAUUUGUGUAGAGUUUAUAACAUCCUAUUAAAAAAAUGCUUUGGCAGCCCUUUUCUUUUAAGCUUUUAGAAAAACAUUCUGCAAGGAAAAAAAAUCUAAUUUUCUGAAUGAGCUGCCCUGACACAAGCUUUUUUUUAAGGAAAAAAAAAUUGAUCAAAUAAAUACUGGGAAAUUCGUGAAAAUUGAAUCAUGCUUUUGUUUCAUUUGGGCUUCGAAUCUGUCUAGAAAAACAUUAAUGCAACUUUAUAUCGAUUAGCUAGGAAAGCUCUCCCAGUAUGUUUUGAGAACACUUGGUCUAGACAUUAGAAACAAGUGAAAGUCGCUUGCUUCCUAGCUGAAGCUUCGUUUCUUCUGUCUCACCAUUGAAAUAGUCGAGGAUAUAUGCUGAAACAUAGAUGAUCUAGGAUUAAAGAUGCAGAAAUCACAUGAAUUCAUUCUUUAUGCGACUCCUUCAACAUAAUAGCAAAAGGAGAUGGUCUCUCAAAGUGUUUUUGGGUAGAGGUUAAAACACAAACCUGAAACCAAACACCAUCUGACAUGCAGCGAAAGAGUAAUCAACAGAAUUCGGAUAUACUAGUAUGAAAGCAGAUAAAAGGGCCCCAAGCUAUAAUUUGUGCAUGUCAGAAAGAGCUACAAUCAAAAUUCAUCCCACAAUAACUUUUGUGAGGACUGAUUAUUGAAGAAGUAUAUAGGACAUCGCAGGAUUCAAGAUGUGCUGGGUUGAAGCAUCAGGCUCGUCACAAGAAUUCUACAAUAAUAGUAUUGUCUAAAUGUUCAUCAAGAAUUUGAUGAUGAGGUAAUAUUUAUUUACCCCGAAUCUUGACCUUAAGUGUCCAUUUAACCUUUCCCUCUGGCAACGGAAUAGACUUUGGGAAGCGUAGUGGCACCUCAACUUGUACUUAUAUACAAGCGGGAUAGAUCCAAGAAGAGAAGAAAAUCACAUUCGAAUUUGUUCUUCUUCUCAUGUCUCUGUUUCUGUGUUUAUCUUUAUUGUAUAUUUGUAUAUAUCUAGGAGUUAUAACUUGAAAAACAUAAAGAGACAUGCCCAUUUCAAUACCAAAUAUCAAGUUCCUGACUUCCUGAGGCAAGAAGUUCAACCCCUUUGAGGUAUUUCCUCUGUACUCGUGUUUGUGCCUCAUGUUCUUAAGCAUCUGUCCAGUAAUUCUAGCAAGCAAGGGUCAAAAGACGUGAUGAAAUAUGAUAGACUAAAAAUUGGAUUAAUAAAGAUAAAAAUCGAGCCUUUUGGUUGUACUUUAAAUUGACUUCAUUUAAUUAUUGUUCUCUGCAAAUUCANNNNNNNNNNNNNNNNNNNNNNNNNNNNNNNNNNNNNNNNNNNNNNNNNNNNNNNNNNNNNNNNNNNNNNNNNNNNNNNNNNNNNNNNNNNNNNNNNNNNNNNNNNNNNNNNNNNNNNNNNNNNNNNNNNNNNNNNNNNNNNNNNNNNNNNNNNNNNNNNNNNNNNNNNNNNNNNNNNNNNNNNNNNNNNNNNNNNNNNNNNNNNNNNNNNNNNNNNNNNNNNNNNNNNNNNNNNNNNNNNNNNNNNNNNNNNNNNNNNNNNNNNNNNNNNNNNNNNNNNNNNNNNNNNNNNNNNNNNNNNNNNNNNNNNNNNNNNNNNNNNNNNNNNNNNNNNNNNNNNNNNNNNNNNNNNNNNNNNNNNNNNNNNNNNNNNNNNNNNNNNNNNNNNNNNNNNNNNNNNNNNNNNNNNNNNNNNNNNNNNNNNNNNNNNNNNNNNNNNNNNNNNNNNNNNNNNNNNNNNNNNNNNNNNNNNNNNNNNNNNNNNNNNNNNNNNNNNNNNNNNNNNNNNNNNNNNNNNNNNNNNNNNNNNNNNNNNNNNNNNNNNNNNNNNNNNNNNNNNNNNNNNNNNNNNNNNNNNNNNNNNNNNNNNNNNNNNNNNNNNNNNNNNNNNNNNNNNNNNNNNNNNNNNNNNNNNNNNNNNNNNNNNNNNNNNNNNNNNNNNNNNNNNNNNNNNNNNNNNNNNNNNNNNNNNNNNNNNNNNNNNNNNNNNNNNNNNNNNNNNNNNNNNNNNNNNNNNNNNNNNNNNNNNNNNNNNNNNNNNNNNNNNNNNNNNNNNNNNNNNNNNNNNNNNNNNNNNNNNNNNNNNNNNNNGUCAAGAAUAUAUGAAGUAUGUUUAUAGAAAAGGAUGCCGAUAAUGUUGAAAUAGGAGAAAGAUUCCCUUUCGAUAUAUUUAGAAUCAAGUAAAAAUAUUCCUAGUUUAAGAAGAUUUGUAUUUAGGAUUUUUAUUAAGUUAAUAUUUAAAAUCCUUGUUAGAAAAAGAUAGUUUAAAUUUAUCUUGACUCUAUAAACUUCUUUUAAAUAUAAGGGUGAUAUGUGUUAAUUAUCAAUGAAUAAAAGCUUAUUAUUAAUUAAAGUUUCUUGGAAUAAAUCAAGUCCUGUUUUCAAAACAUGACAGCUACCAAUCUCACGGUAAGAUUUUAGGAGCGUAUCCACCGCCACCGAGCUAGCUGGGGAGCGGUGUCCUCCUCAUUCGCAAGCUUAUGCAUUACCCGUCCAAGCUGGUCCCUAUGUUGCUCCACCUCCAGUUGAUUACCCUGCGACAAACGGUGCUGAACACACCAAAAUAUCACCCCCUCCUGAAAAAAGAAGAAGCAUAAAUGGUAACUGAGCAUUUCAAAACUCUGUGUGUGUAAAUUCCAUUGCAAAUAAUAAUUCAUCGUUAUAUAUAUAUAUAUAUAUAUAUAUAUAUAUAUAUAUAUAUAUAUAUAUAUAUAUAAACACACACAUCUGAGGGGACAAAUUUUCUUAUCUUUUUGACACAGUUGUCCGUGUUGUUUCGAAUGUUUAUGCGACUUUAAUUCUUCAUAGCUCACAUCUCUCGGAAUCCACCUUGUGGGAAAUUGUCUUAAUUUGUUUGUUUUUCACACAUGUUUUCUGUAACUAAUUUCCUUGUACACAUAUUUUGAUGUAAAUCUGUUUUAUUAUUUCAACAAAAUGGGCAAUCAAUCAUGGAAUCGCUCUUUUAAAGUUAGAGUUUGGCAUCGGUUUUACCCUCCGACUUUUAGAAAUUCUUAAUUGAGGACUUUUAUCCAGUUUUCAGGUUUUCCAUUCCACAUUAAUUUCCAUCCAAAUUGUACUUUUUUUAUAACAAUUAUUAGAGGUGAAAAAAAUAUCGAUAAGCCGAUAAAACUAAGAAAAAAUUAAUUAAAAAACUAAACCAAGAAAAAAAUAAUUAAAAACACUAAUUAGAAAAUUAAAAGAAAAAUUAGUUUGGCUUCGAUUUAAAACUUAUGAAACCAAUUGAAUUCAAUCAUACCCAUCAUUAAGAAUGAAUAUUGUUUGAAAUAUAGUUUCAUGAUAAUGAAUAUAUAAGAUGUCUAAUUUUUUAAAAACCUUGUUAUUAAAUGUUGAUAAUGAAUAUAUCAAUUAGUUUAUUCUAUAAUUUAUUGUAUCUAUGAUAUAUAUUAUAUGUUAUUGUCUCACUAAGUUAAUUAAAUUCAUCCCUUCUUAUUAAUAUUAUUUUUCAAGUUCUUAACUUCUGUUAAUAGGUUGAUUUUAUUAAGAGUUCUUGCUAUUUUUUUUUGUUGGUAUGUCUCGGUUUCUUUUGUGAGACUUUUUUUUUAUUCUUUUUUAUUUAAUGUCUUAGACACUAUUAUUAUAUUGUUUCAUUUAAAGUUUAGAUUUUUAUAUUGUAAUAAGUAUUAUGAAGUAUUAUUUGAUUUAAUUGGUUUUGAAGAAUAUUUUGAAAAUUUACAAAAUGUUACAAGUUCUAUUUAAUUUAUUUUAUAAUAAAUAUAUUUGAAACUUAAUGUAAAUAAGAUGUCCUCAUAGAAGUGCUUCUAUCUUGCCGGUCACUAAGAGGGCGUUUGUCUACGCGUACGCGGCUGCGGCUGAAAUAAAACGCAGCAAAUAUAUAUUUGGUUACAGAAAAAAAAAGUCGUUAACUGUUCAUGGGUCCCACUUUUUACUGCGUUGCAAACUGGGUCCCACUUUUUACUGCGUUGCAAACUCAGCAACAGUAAACAAUGGGCAACUUUUGUUUCAACAGUAAACAAUGGGCAACAUAUUUACGCACUGUGCAUGCUAAUUAAUUAGCAUGUUACACUGUUCAUGCUAAUUAAUUAGCAUGACCAAUAGUUCUGGUCGGACCGGUUCCGGCCAAACCGGUUCCAGUUCAAAACUUAAAAUACAUUGAACCAGGUCCAACCCAGUAAAAUAAAAAUUAUUUUAAAUUAUUUUUUAUUUGAAAAACUAGUGUUUAACAUUAUUUAAUGACACUAUAUAAAUUAGACAGAGAUCGCUUGAUAAAGUAGCAUUUGCAGAAUUUGAUCACAAUUCCAAUUUUGUUCUUGAUUAUAUUUUACCUGAUGUUAUUGCGCGCUUGAAAAACCAAAAAAAUUAUAGUCCUUGUCGGAUAUAUUUCAUACAUAAUGGAAUUGUAGAUGUUUUAAUGAAACAAUAAAAAAUAUUUUAUAUAAAGUAUUAUUUAUUUCAUGAUGUAAUAACAAAAGUUAAAUCUACAAUAUUUAAAUUAAAAACUAUCAAUAUUAAUAUAUAUUUUUUAAAAUUAUUUUAUAACCUCAAUUUCAAAAGCAUUAUUAACCAAACACAUUAAACUAUUUUUUUUCAACCUCAAUUUCAACCACAGUUUUAACCAAACACCUAUUUUUUUAAAUCAACCUCAAUUAAAAGUACUUUUUAUAAAAUAACUUUUUUCAAACUACAACCAUAACAGCUACCGCAAUACCAAACACACCCUAACUCGGAAUCUGGCUGGUGACAUUGAAUAUCUUUAGCACUGUCAAUGUGAAACAUUUUCCUAGCUAGCUAGGUGCUUAAGUUCUUGUGAGUUAUUGAUUUCGAAAAAGGAGUCAGUACCACAAUACCAGCUAUCAAUCUCAAGGUAUGCAAAAUUAAUUAACUAUAAUCCUAUAAUGAAAUAAGUUGUCAAUAAUAUUACUAGUCUUUUGUUUAUAUAUGGUUAAUCAAGUUGAUAAAUUGAUGGGUUGCUAACUUGCUAUUGAUUUUUCAGGAGCAUAUCCGCCACCAAGCCAGCAGGUGCCUCCUCCUCCUCCUCCUCCUGGUGCGCCCCAAAUAUCUUACCCACCACCAGUUCAAGGGUACCAUCAAGGUCAAUAUGUUGCCCACCUGCACCCACUUGAAAAAUAAUAAUAAUAAUAAGAUGCCCUCGUAGCACUGCUGCUAUUAUUAUUAUUAUUAUUAUUAUUAUAUUCCGUUUGGUCGUUUUGUACAUUUUUGCGGGCCAGGCCCAGGACCCCACAUACUUGGACUGAUAGUUUGGUAAUAAGUCCAAUACCCAAUGGAAAAAUAGGAAAAACGAAAGGAAAAGAAUGGAAGUAAAGCACUAAAACAAAGGAGAAUGAUAGUUUGGUAAUGAGUCCAAUACCCAAUGGAAAAAUAGGAAAAUUAAAAACAAAAGUAAAAGAAUGAAAGUAAAGCACAAAAACAAAGGAUAAUCCAAGAUAUCUCUAUUUUAGUGUCAAGAUAGAGUCCAUUUUCGGAGGAACCUUCUGUCCAUUUUCUAUGCAAUUUCAAGUUAGAAAACGAAGGCAGAGUCCACAUUGCUUUUUUGAAUAAAUGGAUUGAAUUAUUGAAAGAGAUCUCAAUUGUCAGAACAUGGAGGUCGUCUAGCUAGCUUUUCCAUGCAUGUAAGAAGUCGCCAUUGACGAAAACCUUAGCCAAGUCUAUAAAACAUAAUAUUUCAUUUCAUUCAUUUGGUUUUUCCAUAUACCAAAUAAGUUUUUCAUAGGUGAUCAUUUCAACAAUGAGUUACGACAGCAACAACCAUCAAGCUUCCGCAGGUAAUUGAAUUUAUAUUCGGCUUCUGAAAAUCUUUUUUCUUCCCCUUUUUUUUCUGUGAUUUAGAAAGUUAAUCAAUUGAUGGUUUACUAAAUUGAUGAUUUUCAGGAGUAAAUCCUCCACCACCUACUUCAUGUUCACCAAAGCAGGAGGUGUGUUAUCCAGAAUAUCUUUCUUCUCAACCACCAAUGCAAGGGUACUAUGAAGCCGGUCCUGAUGUGGCACCACCUCUAGUUAGUGACCCUAUGAACUAUGGUCCUCAACACCUCCAACCGCCACCUCCUCCUCCAGAAAGAACUAAUAAGAGGGAUGAUGAAUUUUGCACAGGAUGGUAACUGAGCAUUUUUUUUUCCCUUUUUAUUUAAAUAACGAUUCACUGUUUACUUAUUUAUUUAUCUUUUUCCUAUGCGACACAGGUGCUGCUGCUGCCUCUAGGACGCGUGCUUUUAAGGACUGUGAGGGAUUCUCUGCAAAAUUUGCAGCUUAUAAUUGUUUCCCUUGUGUUUCUUGUUGGGAAUCAUCAUUAUUUUCGCUCUUUUUAUGUCACUGUACGGACUACGUAUGCUUUAUCCACACUAUAUUCUCCGUUUAUUUGAGUUGAGAGAAUGUUAAUAAUUAUUUUUUAAAAUUAUUUUUGAUAUGAAUACAUAAAAAAUCUAAAAAUAUAUAAAAUAAUUCUAAGUAAUUUAUUUUUAAAAUUUUAACCGUUCUCUAUUUAGCAUGCAAUCCUAAUCAGUGGCGAAAUCUUAAAAAGGAUCUCAGUACAUUAAUCAAAUUGCUGAUAGAUGGGCUAUAUAUAUAGACUAGUUUGUGUUUCAAAAGUUGAGGAGCUUGGUAACGGGACAGGCUCCACGGCGUAACCUACGCGAGUGGGAAGGGAGACUGUAGACUUCAGAAUAGAAAAGAAAAGGCUAAAGAAUUGAUGCAAUGAAACAUAACUAAUCAUUGUAUAUACUCUUAUAGGUUGUUUUACAUUACAUUUGUACUUGUGUUUUUUAAUGUAUUUUAAAGGUGAGUUUGGUAUAAAAAAAGACAUCGAAUUAAUUUUUAAAAUUUUUUAUGAUAGUUUUAAUGUAAUGAUGUUACUAAUAAGAAAAUUUUUUUAAAAAAUUUAAUAUAUUUUUUAAAAAAUACAUAUCAAACACAUUUGAUCUUCCGACAAAAGAUGAACUCAAAUGAUUUGUUAAUUCAAGUGCUGAUUAAUAGAAAAACUCGAUCUUUUUUAAGAAGCUUAAAAUAAUAUCAUUCCAAGUUUUUUUUAUUUUUUUUUCUAAAUCAAAGAUUAAGUUAAUCUCACUUAAACUUUCAACCCAUGACACGAGACUCACUCGAAACUAGAUACAACCUGGGUGGUAUCUUAUAACUAUAUAUGCUAUUAAUGGCUUUAGAAACUUCGUUUUUUCUGGUUUUUUAAUUUUUUUCACACUUGAUUUUUUUUUUUCAAUUUAAUCCAUAAACACUGUGUUUAUUAGAAAUUAUACUUUACAAUUUAUUUAUAUAUUUUUUUAUAAAAUUAUCUUGAAUUUUUAAAAACAUCUUGAUGUUAAGUUCACGUUAUAUUAUCCAAAAGAAAAUAUGAUUUUAUAGUUUAGAAGAAUUGAAAAUUAGAGAACAAAAAUUUAGAAACAAUCUAAAUGGCAAGUCAAUUUACAAAAAACUUCAAAAUGGUCCUCCCCUUUUCCCUGUAUUUUGCCUUGGGGAUAUGGCAGAGUUACUCUUUGGUCCUUUUUAUUUUUUUAUCAAGCAUUUUAAUUCAAAACUUUAUUUUUUUAUUUUCAGUUUUUAAAUUAAAAAUAAUAAAUAAAAUCACCAAAAGACAACAAGGGGAGGGAGAGUCGUCAUGUUUUUUUAUUACAAUUUUUCAAUUUAUUUUAUUGAAUAUACAGUUCAUAAUCAAAAUUUAAGUGACGAAGUACGGACAGUUAUCUAGUUUAUGUUCUAUUACAGUUUUCAACCCAACCAUCUUGUCUGUGAACACUGAAAUUAAAAUUGCAUUGAAUGAUUUUUUUUUCUUGUUUUUUUCGUUUUCAAACAUCUUUGACCUUACAGAAAUGCCCCCACGCAACUCUAAAACCUUCGCAACUUUCCAGCCAACCAUCCUUUAAAAACUUAAGAAACAUUCAUCGCCUCUUGUCUUUUCUCUCUAGCAUGUUCGUUUAGCAAUUUCAAUCCGCAACUGAACUUUAUUUGGUCAUUGUCUUUUAAUGGCUAACAAACUCAGGUCUGAAUCAUCUUCUUCAGACAAAACCCAAAAAUCCUAGGUUGAUUAUUAUCGUGAUUUCUAGCUUUUCCUUGCUUUUGUGGAUCCUUGAUGUAGUUUGGUCAGGGCUACUGUUCGAUGAUAGUCAUUUUAUUUCACCCAGUAAAUGGAUAAUUUUAACGAAGGCAUCAACUUCAGCUCAGCUACAAGCCCUGCACAAGACAGUCGAGAGCUGUGGCCCGAGAAGAAUUCUCGCAACUUAUUCAAAUAUUUGUGAAGGAAGCAGAACAGUAUGUUCAGGAUAGGAAUAUACAUACAGUGCAAAGAAAUCCGCAACAUUUAGUUAAUAUGGAUGCUAUGCAGUACGCGCACACCGUUGAAGUCACUGAGAGCGCUAUGCUAAUACCUACAGAUGUAUAUAUAUUUCAAAUCCCAAAACGGCAUGCCUUGCGAGAAUAUAUAACUUAAGCUCUGGGAUAGCGAGAGCGACCCUUCUUCUUGAGAAACUCAGGAAUCUCCACCGAAACUCAGGAAGCUCCACAAGUCAUCGGAGACACCUCGGAUGGAAGGUGUGAGGACCAUGAUAUGAGUCCAAGUUCAUACCGUCUCAUGACGACAGGCGGAGACACCUCAGGAGAAGGUGUGAGGGCCAUGAUAUGAGUCUAAGAUCAGACCGCCCCAUGACAACGGGCGAAGACACCCCAGGAGAAGGUGUGAGGGCCAUGAUAGGAGCCCAAUUACAGAAUGCCCUAGAGCCAAUGCGAUGGCUGGUAUANNNNNNNNNNNNNNNNNNNNNNNNNNNNNNNNNNNNNNNNNNNNNNNNNNNNNNNNNNNNNNNNNNNNNNNNNNNNNNNNNNNNNNNNNNNNNNNNNNNNNNNNNNNNNNNNNNNNNNNNNNNNNNNNNNNNNNNNNNNNNNNNNNNNNNNNNNNNNNNNNNNNNNNNNNNNNNNNNNNNNNNNNNNNNNNNNNNNNNNNNNNNNNNNNNNNNNNNNNNNNNNNNNNNNNNNNNNNNNNNNNNNNNNNNNNNNNNNNNNNNNNNNNNNNNNNNNNNNNNNNNNNNNNNNNNNNNNNNNNNNNNNNNNUGAAGAGGCUAUGAUGAGUAUGGAGACAAAUGCAGGAUUGACUUUCAUGAAUAUUGCCCCCAUGCUAAAGAUCAAUGAGCUAGAAGACAUUUGCCUUGGAUAAUAAGUGGAUGACUUGUGGAGCAUUAAGACGCGAAUGCUAUGUAGGAGCAGAGGGCAUGCGCAGGUUCCGGGAACAAGUUGACUCUUGUCAAGGUGGUGAGCUCAGUAAUGACAUUGUAAUACUCAGAGUAUGAAGAUAGAGAUGGAUCAACCUUUAAUGGGCUGUCCCCAUGGUUAAAGGUGGAGAGCUACCUGGACUCUUGAGACUAAGAGCGGGAAACUCACGGAGAAGUAAGGCGUGGUUCCUAGGGAGGAACAGAAGGCAGACGCAACUCCGGGAUGAGUAGACUCUUGGAAGAGUGGUGAGCUAGUGAUCACUUUGAAAUACUCAAUGACUGUCGCACUUGGGAAUAUCUGUUUGAGGGGGUGUUGUAAGCUUUGAUGUAAGGCUUGAUAAAUCAUUUCGGGCCAAGCAUGGUUGAUAUGCUUGAAAGGGAAUGCAGUGUCCCAGAGACAAGCGUUAACACUCUUCAGAUGUGAUGUGGUAGAUCAUGUGGUUGAAGUGAUCCUUUGGAGUGAGCAAAGGGGUGUUUGGGUGACUCUGACGAUUGAAAGGUUUGGCAAGUACCUGUAAACUUGGCCAAAGACGCUCUCAGAAUGGUAAGCUUGGAAGAGCUGCAGAAUGCAAGCAUGUGCUGAAGAAGCAAGAGGACAAUUGCCCACAUAAAUGUCAAAGGGGGUGAUUGUUGGGAUAUUGCCAUUAUUGGGCAAUAACAUGUGCAGCCUACCCUAAGAAGAGAGGGUUGCCAUUGUCAAUGGUAGUUGCACCAACCAUUGACAAAAUGGUGCAACCCAUGUGCUGCCACCAUUAGUGCCAUAAUCUAUGGCCAAGUUGUCUUACCAUUCAUGCCUAUAAAUGGAGGCAUACGUGAGAGAGCAAAGAGAGAGUGAGUGUAGAGCCAAAGAUGUGAGAAAUGUAGGAGAGAGUGGGCUGCCAAGACAGCCAGCAGUAGCUGUCAUUGCAACACUAAGAAGAGAGAAAUAGAGUGAGGUUGAGAGUUGCUAAAGAGGGGAUGAUUCCUCCUCCUCUAUUGUUGUAAAUCUUGUUCUCUCCCUAUAUAAUGCAAUGGCUUCUCCCGUGGAUGUAGGCGGUUUGCCGAACCAUGUUAAAUAUUGUGUCAGUAUGCUUAGCCUCCAAUGGGCAAAUAUCAGAACAUCACCGGUUGGAAUUCCCUACAGUAAGGACUGAUUAUUGAAGAAGUAUAUAGGACAUCGCAGGAUUCAAGAUGUGCUGGGUUGAAGCAUCAAGCUCGUCACAAGAAUUCUACAAUAAUAGUAUUGUCUAAAUGUUCAUCAAGAAUUUGAUGAUGAGGUAAUAUUUAUUUACCCCGAAUCUUGACCUUAAGUGUCCAUUUAACCUUUCCCUCUGGCAACGGAAUAGACUUUGGGAAGCGUAGUGGCACCUCAACUUGUACUUAUAUACAAGCGGGAUAGAUCCAAGAAGAGAAGAAAAUCACAUUCGAAUUUGUUCUUCUUCUCAUGUCUCUGUUUCUGUGUUUAUCUUUAUUGUAUAUUUGUAUAUAUCUAGGAGUUAUAACUUGAAAAACAUAAAGAGACAUGCCCAUUUCAAUACCAAAUAUCGAGUUCCUGACUUCCUGAGGCAAGAAGUUCAACCCCUUUGAGGUAUUUCCUCUGUACUCGUGUUUGUGCCUCAUGUUCUUAAGCAUCUGUCCAGUGAUGCUAGCAAGCAAGGGUCAAAAGACGUGAUGAAAUAUGAUAGACUAAAAAUUGGAUUAAUAAAAAAAAUAAAAAUCGAGCCUUUUGGUUGUACUUUAAAUUGACUUGAUCCUAAUUAUUGUUCUCUGCAAAUAGGAAAUCAUAUGUACAGAAGCAGAUAAUGGAAUCAAGAAUAUUCUUUGAAUUCGUCAAGAAUACAUGAAGUAUGUUUAUAGAAAAGGAUGCCGAUAAUGUUGAAAUAGGAGAAAGAUUCCCUUUUGAUAUAUUUAGAAUCAAGUAAAAAUAUUCCUAGUUUAAAAAGAUUUGUAUUUAGGUUUUUUAUUAAAUUAAUAUUUAAAAUCCUUGUUAGAAAAAGAUAGUUUAAAUUUAUCUUGAUUUUAUGAACUUCUUUUAAAUAUAAGGGUGACAUGUGUUAAUUAUCAAUGAAUAAAAGCUUAGUAUUAAUUAAAGUUUCUUGGAAUAAAUCAAGUCUUGGUUUCAAAAGAUGACACCUACAAAUCUCACGGUAAGAUUUUAGGAGCGUAUCCACCGCCACCGAGCCAGCUGGGGAGCGGUGUCCUCCUCCUUCGCAAGCUUAUGCACUACCCGUCCAAACUGGUUCAUAUGUUGCUCCACCUCCAGUUGAUAUUACCCUACGACAAAUGGUGCUGAACACACCAAAAUAUCACCCCCUCCUGAAAAAGAAGAAGUAUAAAUGGUAACUGAGCAUUUCAAAACUGUGUGUGUGUAAAUUCCAUUGGAAAUAAUAAUUCAUCGUUAUAUAUAUAUAUAUAUAUAUAUAUAUAUAUAAACACAUACCUGAGGUGACAAAUUUUCUUGUCUUUUUGACACAGUUGUCUGUGUUGUUUCGAAUUUUUCUGUGACUUUAAUUCUUCAUAGCUCACAUCUCUUGGAAUCCACCUUGUGGGAAAUUAUCUUAAUUUGUUUGUUUUUCACACAUGUUUUCUGUAACUAAUUUCCUUGUACACAUAUUUUGAUGUAAAUCUGUUUUAUUAUUUCAACACAAACCAAGAAAAAAAAUUCAAAACACUAAUUAGAAAAAUUAAAAGAAAAAUUUGUUUGGUUUCAAUUUAAAACUUAUGAAACCAAUUGAAUUGAAUCAUACCAGUCCAUUAAGAAUGAAUAUAAAAAUGUUAUUUAAUGUUGUUUAAAAUAUGGUUUCAUGAUAAUGAAUAUAUAAGAUGUCUAAUUUUUUUAAAACCUUGAUAUUAAAUAUUGAUAAUGAAUAUAUCAAUUAGUUUAUUUUUUUAAUUUAUUGUAUCUAUGAUAUAUAUUAAAUGUUAUUUUCUCACCAAAUUGAUUGAACUUACUUAUUUUUAUUAAUAUUAUUUUCAAGUUUUUAAGUUUUGUUAGCAUGUUGAUUUUAUUAAGAGUUUUUGCUAUUUUAUUUGUUGAUAUGUCUGGUUUGUUUCUGUGAAGCUUUUUUAUAUAUUUUUUUUUAUUUAAUGUUUUAGAUACUUAAUUAUUACACUAUUUCAUUUAAAGUUUAAAUUUUUAUAUUGUAAUAAGUAUUAUGAAGCAUUAUUUUAAAAAUUUACAAAAUGUUAAGAGUUUUAUUUAAUUUAUUUUGUAAUAAAUAUAUUUGAAACUUAACGUAAAUAAGAUGUCCUCAUAUCACUGCUUCUAUCUUGCCGGUCACUAACUCGGAAUCUGGCUGGUGACAUUGAAUAUCUUUAGCACUGUCAAUGUGAAACAUUUUCCUAGCUAGCUAGGUGCUUAAGUUUCUUGUGAGUUAUUGAUUUCGAAAAAGGAGUCAGUACCACAAUACCAGCUAUCAAUCUCAAGGUAUGCAAAAUUAUUUAACUAUAAUCCUAUAAUGAAAUAAGUUGUCAAUAAUAUUACUAGUCUUUUGUUUAUAUAUGGUUAAUCAAGUUGAUAAAUUGAUGGGUUGCUAACUUGCUAUUGAUUUUUCAGGAGCAUAUCCGCCACCAAGCCAGCAAGUGCCUCCUCUUCCUCCUCCUCCUCCUCCUCCUGGUGCGCCCCAAAUAUCUUACCCACCACCAGUUCAAGGGUACCAUCAAGGUCAAUAUGUUGCCCACCUGCACCCACUUGAAAAAUAAUAAUAAUAAUAAGAUGCCCUCGUAGCACUGCUAUUAUUAUUAUUAUUAUUAUUAUUAUUAUAUUCUGUUUGGUCGUUUUGUACAUUUUGGUGGGCCAGGACCAGGACCCCACAUACUUGGACUGAUAGUUUGGUAAUGAGUCCAAUACCCAAUGGAAAAAUAGGAAAAACAAAAGGAAAAGAAUGAAAGUAAAGCACAAAAACAAAGGAUAAUCCAAGUGCACAAAUCAGUGUGGGACUCAUGCUCAAAAGCUGAAUUUGAUUCGUGUAUCUGGGGUACUUAUCAAUAAAUCUACGUGGAACACACAUUUCUUUAAUUAAAUUAUGAGAUUAAUUAAUUAAUUAAUGAAACGGUGUAAGAAAGGUCUCUCUAUUUUAGUGUCAAGAUUCAACUUUUUAAACCAUUUAGUAGCAGAGUGAUAAUAAUUUGGGAUUAAAAAGUUGCUUUUGUUAUGAUUUUAGAUUCGAGUAAUGUAAUUGUUAAUAUAAUGGUCACUAGAGACUUAAAUAGUCAUUAACUUUAGGACCCGUGAGAUUAAUUAAGCUGCACGCAAGCUAAUCCGAAUACUCAUAUUAAUAAUAAUAAAAAAGAUUUAACUCUUUGAAAAGAAAUAUAGAUUUACCAUUAAUAUCACAAAUACACACAUAAUUUAUUAAUAAUAUUAAGAUACAGUUAAUAAGUUGAUCAGGUUUCUGUUUAUAAAGAAUGAAUUAUAUUUCCAUUUAAUUAGAAAAAUAGCAAUAUAUAGUUCAAAUUAAUUUGAUGGCGUGUCUUAAUAUAAUAGAUAUGGGUUAGAGGAGAGAGCCACCCUUUUCUAUGCAAUUCAAGGCUUUGGAGCUAUUUUUGUUGUCUCGUUUUGAUUAGAAGAUCAAUUAUUAUUUUCAUUAUCUUGACCAUCUAAAAGCAGACUAAAGUUUCAUUUCUGGAACCUUCUGUCCAUUUUCUAUGCAAUUCAAGUUAGCAAACGAAGGCAGAGUCCACAUUGCUUUUUUGAACAAAUGGAUUGAAUUAUUAUUGAAAGAAAUCCCAAUCGUCACAACAUGAUAGGUCGUCUAGCUAGUUUUUCCAUGCAUGUAAGAAGCCGCCAUUGACGAAGACCUUAAAGAACAACUAGCCAACUCUAUAAAACAUAUCAUUUCAUUCAUUUGGUUUUUCCAUAUACCAAAUACAAGUUUUUCAUAGGUGAUCAUAUCUUGAUUUCAACAAUGAGUGACGACAGCAACAAGUAUCAAGAUUCAGAAGGUAAUUGAAUUUAUGUUCGGCUUCUGAAAAUCUUUUUUU
rnacentral:lncRNA from 1 species